UCACAAAUAGUGCUCAACCGCAGAUGGCUCAAGGAUAUUGAGAAGUUUCUCACCUUCCGGACAACUUCACAACUAGAAUCCUUCCAAAACCACAUACUCAUGUAUGCUGGCAAGCGGUUUGCCUUUUCAUAUGAAGCCUAUGAAGCCAGGACAUUUCUUGCGGCGUUGGACUACAACCACCACAACAACCGACCACUACAUGUCAACAACAAAGGCCAAGUGAUGCAAAAAAGACUGUACAGCAAGAAGUCACAGCGCUAUCGGGUACAAGCAGUGAAAGAGGCAAAAGACUAUAGUUACAUCCCUGACCUGCUUAUGAAAAUUCUAGGAUUAUGACUUCAGUCUGCAGGAGGACUCCCAAGAAAACGAAGCUACAGACCAGAUAACCCUCGGUUACUGGGACCCCUGUCUGGCAUUGUGCCCCCUCCUACAGCAGAUCUGGUGCAGUCACAGGUCCAAAGAG